UAAUUAAAGCAGAAUAGUGAAUCAAUUACCCAAAAAUUGGUGGCAAUCGAGAAUGAUUGAAAUUGGUAUAAAGAGAAGAACCCAGUACCAUAUUUGUUAUCAACAUAAUCGUAGUGCUAAUUUAAGAUGAAGAACGAGAAAUGGGCAUGAAACGCAGAGAAGCAUGCUCUAUAUUAAUAUCUUCAGCGUGAUAAGACAGUUGAGUUGAGAGGCAGCAAUUGUAAUUGUCACGAGACAUUGGAAAUUGGAAUCGCCCUUUUGAUUAAACAUUUUUGUAUUCAGAUUCUUGGAUUCGAGAGCGGCGUAGAAGCAGAGGAGUCAUUUUCUGACUACCCACGUGUUAGUUGAUGAUCUUGU
rnacentral:lncRNA from 1 species